rnacentral:lncRNA from 1 species
ACUGCUCUAUGCCGACUGUCGUUGCCGGAGGAGGAGGAGCCUGGAAAACUGAAGAUGAGGUCGGAGCUGGUGGAUCUUGCUGAGAUCUGGCCAUGGAGGUAGUAGAUCGCCUGAUGGAUGCCUUUCGGGGAGGCAUUAGGUUGGGAUCUGGCCAGAGAAGAAGAAGAAGAUGUCGAAGAAGAUGAUCGAAGACAGUCCCGUUGAGUACUCCUUUAAGAACAAAGGUCCUGCGAAGACACAGGCCCUUCCUCUAGCGCCAAUUCUGUUGGUGCAAAAUUUUAUCGAUGCCAGAGAAGUUGGAGUCGAGAGGAUCACGGCCGCCAUCGGGACCUACAAGGAAAGUCUAAACUAGAGUUGGGGGUGCUCUGGCAAGACCCUCCCUCUAGCGCCAAUUCUGUUGUAGAAGAUCGGACGGAGUCCAGUUCUUGUAGGAGUCUGGAAGGAGGCCGCUUACCGUAGAAGCUC